ACACCAUGGAAGUUGGCCACGCCCGAAGUCAUUACUCUAACCUUUCGAGGAGGAGGAUGCCGAAGGCAGGGCUGAUGACUGGGGUGAAGUCGUAACAAGGUAGCCGUACCGGAAGGUGUGGCUGGAUCACCUCCUUU
rnacentral:rRNA from 1 species